UAUCAGUUGAAUCAGACAAAAACAACAGCAACUAGGAGGCAAAUGUAAUGCACUUUGCAGUCAGUAUGAAAAAGAUCAUUGAAGUUGUUAAACGUAUUUCAUGUGCAUUUUAUUGACUUGUGUGUUGUAUUUAUGUAAUAUUUGAAUAUAUCUGAGUGAAAAUGGGACAGCAAGAACAACAGUGGUUAGCGCGAUGUCAUCGCAUGCCGAUGAGCACAGGAAACAGAGAGCGAGAGCAGUCGAGAGGGCACUUAACAGAAGUAGAGCUUGUGGAUAUGCCACUGGAUGCAGCCAUGGAGCAGGUGUUGCAACAGAUUCUGUUUAAAUUUUAAAUAACGAAUGCCAUGUGAAUGCGCAGCUUGGAUGACACUGCCUACCCUACGAGGCACUGCAGCAUUGGGGCAUUAGCGAUCGCGAAGGAUCUACAGUUUCUGUGAUGAGCUGCAUAGCAUCAAAGUCUUUCACUCGUCCGCAAUCCACGAAAAAAAACUGGUUAACAAUGAUGAAAAUAAUAAUAAAAACCAUGGCAGCUGGAAUCGGUUCAUGAACUCGGUCCGAUCACGUUUGAAUGUGGCUUAGAUUGUGCGCGAUGUUCGCCAGGAUGCGACGAUAACCUUUGACUUCUGCGUUCUCCUCAUCCUUGCCGCGUAUGCAACAAUUCCUUUUCCCUGC